CCAUAGUCCCUGAGAGCCUUAUUAGAGACAAUUUUUUUUUUUUGUCUCUAAUAAGGCUCUCAGGGAGUAUG
rnacentral:pre_miRNA from 12 species